UAUGCUGCUUAUCGUUCCGUACAUCGGUAAUGCAAGUGUAGCACCAAUUUGGCGGUUGGCUUAUUUCUUCUACCGAAGCAUAAGGCAUGGAACCCUGCUUGAUGUCUCGUCAUGACGAUUGGACACUUUGCUUUGGGAUAUUUGCUGCUCUUUCUCGCCACCACUGCCGAUUUCAAGAAAUUACGCAAAAUACCAAGGAUACAUGGCUCCCUGUGUAACACUACUAGGGAUUGUAACGUUGGUCAGAAGCUGGCAUGUCUUCUGGUAAAUGGAAAUAAAAUCGUAGAGUGCAUACCGCAUACUAUAAGAUGCGACGUCUACUGGCAACGGUACUGCCGAAGGCCGCUUGUUCCCCAAUGCGAGAAUGAGCCCACGGAGUGCAAAUGCUGUUGUGGUAAGUGCGAAGAGCACAUUAG